GAUGAACGCUAGCUACAGGCUUAACACAUGCAAGUCGAGGGGCAGCGGUAUCGAAAGCUUGCUUUCGGUAGCCGGCGACCGGCGCACGGGUGAGUAACGCGUAUCGAGCCUGCCUCAUACUCGGGAAUAGCCUCGCGAAAGUAAGAUUAAUGCCCGGUGUUUUCAGAGUCCCGCAUGAGGCUUUGAACAAAGAUUUAUCGGUAUGAGAUGGCGAUGCGUCCCAUUAGCUUGUUGGCGGGGUAACGGCCCACCAAGGCAUCGAUGGGUAGGGGUUCUGAGAUGAAGGUCCCCCACAUUGGAACUGAGACACGGUCCAAACUCCUACGGGAGGCAGCAGUGAGGAAUAUUGGUCAAUGGGCGGAAGCCUGAACCAGCCAAGUAGCGUGCAGGAAGACGGCCCUCCGGGUUGUAAACUGCUUUUAGUUGGGAAUAAAACGGGGCUCGUGAGCCCCCUUGCAUGUACCAUCAGAAAAAGGACCGGCUAAUUCCGUGCCAGCAGCCGCAGUAA
rnacentral:rRNA from 1 species